rnacentral:lncRNA from 1 species
GUCAGCCCCAAGGCCUAUUGACUUUACUUCCACCAUAUACUCCAUUAUCUUUUCUUUCACUUCAUGUUCAUUACCAACAUUCAGGCCGACGUCACCAUCAUCAUUCCCUGGACCAUUCCGCUAGCAGACUAACUGAACUUUCUGCCUUCUCACUCAGACCCUUCCAGCCAUCAGUAGAGGUAAGCUCUGCUACAUUGCAAUAUUUGGGGACUGAAAGGUGUCCAAGCCAGCUGUGGUUUGAACAUGUGACCUGAUACCAACUGCCUUAAACGUCAUUUCACUAACUUAGAAUAAAACCCAAACUCCUCACCACAGCCUCCUGAGACCUCAUUCUCUGGAUCUUGCCCAUGGCUCUAACCUUCUAACCUACCACUCCCCCUUCAACCCUGGGUUUUUUGCUGACCUUCAGACACUUCAGUCAUUUUAAUUUUUUUUUUCAGGAAUUUCUCACUUUUCCAUUCAAGAAAUUACUCCCCUGCCCUCCAAUGCCUGGUCCAGAAGGGAUCACUUUACUAGACAUAGAAAUGAAAUUUGAACUAGAAAGAACCUGAUUGUCUCUUAGAAAUGUCUGGUGAAUUCCAAACUAUUUUACUCACAAUCUGUGGAGCAGAGCUUUGAACACAGGCCGUCCAUUCUUCUGGACAUUGGAGAAACCAAAAGUCAUUUGUCAAAGAGAAUCCUGGCCCAGUCCCUGGGCACGUGGCUCUCAGAAAGCUUACGUGUCUAUGGAGAUGUACCGAAGAUGAUUGCUUUCUUGGCAGUAUGAAAGAGCUUCAUGGGGCCCUCAGGCUCACAACUUCUUGUGAUCUAUUCAAGCUUACGUAUCUAUAAAGACUUUGAAGGAUUACUGGAAGGAUAUGAAGCUCCCCAGUCUGCAAGUGUGCUAAAACUUUUCUGGACCAAGCCAGAUAAGUGGAGAGAUGGGCCCCUUGACCCUAAUCAGGUUGUUUUUUCUGUAAUUUGACUUUGGUGUGACAUCAUCAUAACAGGGUUCAAAGUUGCUAUAAAGAACAGUGUUGUUCAAGGUCUGGCCUGGUUAAGUUUGCACGUUCCGCUUCGGCGGCCUGGGGUUGGCUGGUUCAGAUCCCAGGUGUGGACCUAUGCACCGCUUGGCAAGCCAUGAUGAGGAGGGCAUCCCACAUAUAAAGUAGAGGAAGAUGGGCACGGAUGUUAGCAGGGCCAGUCUUCCUCAAAAAAAAUAGAACAGUGUUGUUCGCAUGUGUAUGGGUACUCUAACACAUUGCUGGGGGAGUGUGUGUUGGUACAACAUUUCAGAUGGGCAAUUCAGUGAUACAUAUCAAAGAAUUUUAAAAUAUGUAUGCCUUUGGACUUAGUACUUCCAG